rnacentral:rRNA from 1 species
GUAGGCUGCAACUCGACUACAUGAAGCUGGAAUCGCUAGUAAUCGCGGAUCAGAAUGCCGCGGUGAAUACGUUCCCGGGUCUUGUACACACCGCCCGUCACACCAUGGGAGUCGGAAAUGCCCGAAGUCUGUGACCGAACCGAAAGGAAGGAGCAGCCGAAGGCAGGUCGGAUGACUGGGGUGAAGUCGUAACAAGGUACC